UACAGAGGUCUCAAGCGUUGUUCGGAUUCAUUGGGCGUAAAGGGUGCGUAGGCGGCGAGGCAAGUCAGGUGUGAAAUCUCGGAGCUCAACUCCGAAACUGCACUUGAUACUGCCUUGCUAGAGUAUUGGAGAGGAGAUUGGAAUUUACGGUGUAGCAGUGAAAUGCGUAGAUAUCGUAAGGAAGACCAGUGGCGAAGGCGAAUCUCUGGACAAUUACUGACGCUGAGGCACGAAGGCCAGGGGAGCAAACGGG
rnacentral:rRNA from 2 species